GCCAGAGCGCGAUCGCCCCGGACGACACCACCUGCUUCUUCCCGUUUCCACCGAGCUUUGCGAAAAUCAUGGACUUCUACAAAAUCUGACCGUUUCAGACUGGGCCUCCCUUAUUCCCUUUGGUAUUGCGUGUGCUGCAGUUGGCUUUGGGGUGAAGACCGUCGUGGAUAAAAAGAUUGGUAGUCCUUGCAAUCCCAGUAUCAGAAAGGAGAGUC